UUGUGGACAGUAAGUGUUGUCCUCGGCUUGCACAGUCACUCACCGCUCCCUCACUGACUCACCCAGAGCCCCUUCAUCCUCCAUUCAUGGACCUUGUAACCUUUAUUUUGCUGCCUGAAGCUGUGGAUCUGUCUUGUGCUUCUCCAGACUAGGUACCUUGUCUGCCUAGACUUUCAGAGCUGCUAGCCUUCAGCUUUGAUUCAACUUCCCCAACGAUGCUAGCCAGCAAAGCAGCUAAGACAAAUUCUCCUGCCUGCUCGUCAUCCUUAACCUUCCUGUUGCAGAUGAAUAUGAUUUCCAUCUUCAAUAUUAAAAUGGCUACACAAAAAUUCACCAAUUUUUCCCCGGAGAACUUCACACGUAGCUCCUGACUGUGUGAAGAGCGUCACAUUGACAGAGUACAUGGUCCUUGACGAGACAAGUAUGUCUUUG